rnacentral:misc_RNA from 1 species
GAUGAAGAACGCAGUGAAAUGCGAUAAGUAAUGUGAAUUGCAGAAUUCAGUGAAUCAUCGAAUCUUUGAACGCACAUUGCGCCCGCCAGUAUUCUGGCGGGCAUGCCUGUUCGAGCGUCAUUUCAACCAUCAAGCCCCCGGCUUGUGUUGGGGACCUGCGGCUGCCGCAGGCCCUGAAAAGCAGUGGCGGGCUCGCUGUCACACCGAGCGUAGUAGCAUACAUCUCGCUCUGGGCGUGCUGCGGGUUCCGGCCGUUAAACCACCUUCAUAACCCAAGGUUGACCUCGGAUCAGGUAGGAAGACCCGCUGAACUUAAGCAUGUCAAUAAGCGGAGGA